UACACGCUGUGACUAGCAUAUCAAUAAGCGGAGGAAAAGAAACUAACAAGGAUUCCCCUAGUAACGGCGAGUGAAGCGGGAAGAGCUCAAAUUUGAAAUCUUAAAGGGUUUCCCUUUACGAAUUGUAGUUUAAAGAAGUGUUUUCUGUUGAGGUUUUGGUAAAAGUUCUUUGGAAUAGGACAUCAUAGAGGGUGAGAAUCCCGUAUUUGACCUUUACUUUCAACUUUGUGAUACACUUUCAAAGAGUCGGAUUGUUUGGGAAUGCAGUCCGAAAUGGGUGGUAAAUUUCAUCUAAAGCUAAAUAUUGGCGAGAGACCGAUAGCGAACAAGUACCGUGAGGGAAAGAUGAAAAGAACUUUGAAAAGAGAGUUAAACAGUACGUGAAAUUGUCAAAAGGGAAGCGUUUGACACCAGUGUUGUUUUUCUGAAAAUCAAUUAAAGCACUGUUUAUGCUAAGUUGUUUAGACUUUAUCAGCUAUCUGUUUAGUUUUGAGCUUUUCUUUAAUGCACUUUUCAGUUAACAAGUCAACAUCAAUUUCUUUUGCUGUAAAAAAGCUUGAGGAAGGUGGCUUGAGAUUCGUCUUAAGUGUUUAUAGCCUCUUGCCUAUGCAGUCGGAGAGAUUGAGGUCUGCAGCGUAGGAUCCUUCGGGGCUAAAUGCAUUUGUGCUAAGUUAUAGCAUUUUAUAGACAACUUGUUGACUAUGAUUUGUCUUGUAGCUUACUCGCUUAUGUUAUUUUACCUACGCUUAGGAUGUUGAAGAUGUAGCACAUCAU
rnacentral:rRNA from 1 species